UGUUGCCUGGAAAAUCAAUGGCAAAUAUUUUGAUUAGAAUUAUUGAAAACAUUUAUGAUUUAUGAAACAAUGAAAUUAAAUUUUUCAGGAGACAGUCUAGUAUUAUGGACUCAACGCCGAAGAUGAUCUUCGUUAAUGAAUGCAUAAUUAAAUUCUGAAAGUUACUACGAUAUGCAUAUACAUGAACGUGAUCGAAGAAGCGAAAAUUUAUUAUACUUGUUUCCAGCCUUUAUUAAUUUAUCGAAGAGCGCGUGUUAAAACGUAUAGACGUUUCACAACUAUCAGAUAAUUUUCUCUUUUCAAAAAUUUACACGAGACUUUCGUUCCAUUGGUGAGAUAUUAGACGAAGAAAAUUAUAUCAAGAUGCGAAGAAUUCCCACGAAAGUGUAUGCACCAGCAUUCCAUGCAGUCUGCUCCAUAAACGGAAUGUUUAAUACGGGUCUGUGGGCAAAACAAGAGGAUCGUCGUUUCGUAGAAUGAACCCUCUUAAAUCAUUCACAGUGAAAGUUGUCGAAUUAAGUAAAAUUAACUUGGUCCAUAAAAUUUCAGAAUUUUCGGGACCUUCCUUCUCACGACGGGAUUAUGGAUUCGUUCUGGAGGGAAAGAAGCGUACGUUGACGAAGAUUUUAUCGAGCCACGUCCACGAUGCGCAAAGGCGAGGUUCACACGUUUCUAGAAGCUCACCUCGAGCCACGAACUUUCAUCCUGCACGGUGAAAUUAAUCGUAAAAUCGUCCGUACACGGGGCCUCUGUGGUUUCUUCCGAUGCCAAUUCUAAUAAACGUGAUCUUGUUACAUUAACAAAGAUCAUUUUUUUCACAGCGCCUUCAGCAAUUUGAAAAAAGGCAACUCAUAGCCAUCUCCGAUUGAAGGUAUAUCAAAUGACAGAUACUAAGAAAUGGAGUUGUACGGAUCAUUGAUCAUAGAAUUUUUUAGAUCGUAAGAUACAUACAUUUAUUCAUGUAACUGUUAGGAGUACCAUGUCACGCGUCUGUAAAACAAGUCGGUGAAAGAAACUCCUAGCCACAACAUGUUACGCGACAUCUUCGUGACUGGUAAUUGCUAUCGCGUUAAAAUCUGUUACCGUUGUCGAGGUCAUUGAGAACAAACGCAUGAACCUGCCGUGACUACGGAACAUGGUUUCCCUCGAUGCACACGAGAUAUGCAAGCAUCCUUACAAAAUAGAACACCGUAUCGUUCGAAGAUGCAACCUACAAUUAAAUCAACUUUCUGAUAUUAAUUUACAUUUUUUUACAGAGAUAGCACGAGACUUUAGGGAGACGCCUGGCUGUCGACGAACUUUCACACAGGUCGUUGAAAUCACCGAAAAGGAAAAGCGAUUUUCAUUUCUUUCAAUGUAUCGGACGGGCCAGGAAUAACACGCUUCUGUUCGCAAAGUCAAGAGAAAAUUGCGUUCCGUUGACUUAACGAGUUAAGUGUAUACACGGGUCGAUGGAAAAAUGUUGGUAUCGUUAAACGAAUAGUAUACCUCUGACAUUUGCAAAGAAAGCUGUAUUAGAAGAGGAGCUGUGUAACGGAGUGACACUUAUGAAUGCUCGUGAGCAGGAACAACGAAGUCCAUCGUGAUGUUUGCUUUGUCUGCGAUAUGAAAGGGCGGCAGACGUCGUACAAUUGAAUACCAAUGAAAAUUCGCACGGUGUGUCGUUUGGAAAGCAGUCUGAUUUGCUCACAAUGCUCAUCCUCAGGUUUGAUGAAAGAGCAGAUACAAGCUUGAGGAAUCGUUUCCGUAUGGACAGACAGCUGUGACACGCCCGUACAGAAGACAGCGUAAACAUCUUUAGAAAGUUUCUAAAUCGGCAAAUGAUAGUAGCCUUCGUUGGUCCAGCAUCUCAUUAAUAUUUCGUGAAGACGUCGAAGAAAUGAAACGAAAAUGUGUUAUGGACAGAGGCGGGCACGUCUACGCUUUCAGCGUGGGUUUCACUUUCGAAAAUCUUGUUACCUGUAUGAUCGUUUGACACCAUUCGUUCUCUAUAUUUUUGCAUGACAAAUUAUACUCUGCGAUUUGGGAAGAAGUUUCACGCGACCUCAUAUGCUGAUAACGAGUUAACAUAAUGAUCUUAGGUAUUCUGAAGAACCACCUAUUAACAACUAUGUUACUUUCUUCUGAUGGUUUUAGAAUAAGAAUAGAAUAAUUUCACAACAAUUUCACAGACAAAUUGUGCCUUCGUCAUUCAUGCCGGAAGCAGCUUACAAAAGGAGAUGAAUUAUUUCAGUAACACCUGUUUCAGGAAUAUUUUCAUUGAUAAUUGACUUUCUACGAUUUUCCAGGAGAGGAUUCCUCAGCCUAUCAUUUUCCAACAUGCAAGCAGGUGAAUUUCUCCGCAUAGCGAGCGUCUAGUCUAUUAGAAAAUAGCGAAGCUGCAGCAGCAAAUUAUCGACGAUUAAAAUUUAAGAAGGAUUCUUGACAGAAGAACGAAAUCUUCAGUUUCGUACUUAUUAUCAUGGAUUCAGAUACAUCCAGACAAUUGAAGACGAGGGUGAAUGGAUCAUCUGAAAGGAUCAUACGAGGAAUCUGUGUUAAAAUUCUUCGUCGCACGAUUCGUUGCGUCACACAAUGCAAAGAUCUUAAUCAUUGAUGCAUCGUUAAUAAGGAAUUAUUAUUGUAACGCUUAUGUUGCUCACGAUCAGUUUUUGCUUUGACUUCAAAUGGAUAUCAGUUUUAAUUUCUACAGGAUCUUAAUUUAGUUUAAGUAUUGAUCGAUAGUAUCAAUUUUCUUUUGAGAUGCAAUAAUUUCAAAGUUGUUAAUUAACUGAUGAUCAGCUUAUUAACUGAUCAGAGUUACUCUCAUGCAAUAGUAAUGAGAGUGAGCCAGUCAAGCUCUAAUUACUCUAGUAAUACUUCAAUUUCAUGCGAUAUUUCAUGUUGCUGCUUUUCUUUAUUAAUUAUCAAUGAUAACAACUUUUUACAUCAAUUGACUGUGAAAUGACUAAUUAUCAGAUUCUCGAAUCAUUGAGAAUCGAAAACAGAGCCCACACAGUGUAUCAAGAAUUCAUUCAGGUUUAAUUAUCAGGCAUGCGAUAAUUGGGAUCAUUGAACGCACAAAAUACUCCUUGAGGAGAGGAGGAAUGUUUCGAGUAGUUAAUGAACGAUUAGUAGCGUGCGAUUGGAAGCAAAAUACCGUGAGAGAGACUACAGUCCUCGAAUAAGAGGAGACAGGACGAGAAGGAAGAUGAAGAGAAGAUGCCGCGGUCAUGAAGGCGGUACUUUCACUCGGCAGUGUGUCGAGGAUGUGCACGCUCGUGAACUUGCCACGAUCAGCGUAAAAAGCUUCGACGAUACGAGUAAAGAGCUCGAGUUUUGUCACGUGUGAGCUCUGAAUCCGUCGAGGAUCUCCGGCACGACGCGUUUAACCGCGUUCAUGCCGAACUGUUUGAAAAGCGAAACUUUUCUUGGAUCAAGUUCUUUCAAUUAAACUUGAGGUCAAUUUUUAGACAGUCAAGCAAUGAAUUAUUAUUAGAAAUGUAGCUUAUAGUUUAUGAUAAAUUACUCCAGGGUAGAAAAGAAAGAAAUGAUUCAUAUUUCGAGCAGGUCGAAACAGAAACGCGGAAACGCUGUCACGUGAAAGCGCGUUUUCAGUGUCGCCAAGUACGCGACGAUUAUACAACCGAGUCCUUGGCGUUGAAUAAUGCAUAGGUCCGGCAAGAAGAUGCAACGAAUCGAGCGAGGUGCAAUUAACUUGCAACGUACAGUGGUACGCGACGAAACGCAUAGCGGUGCGACGAGUGAAAGUCGAGGAUGACAGCUUUGUAAUGAACGUUGAAGGAACGUCCUCGUUCGGAACAAUUUGCUGGAUGAGCCAUGUAACUGGACGGACCUCCGUGAUCGAUUUCCUCCGAUGAGAGCUCGAUGGAAAGCGAUCGAAAGAAAUCGUUCAUGAGAAAGAGUUCAAGGAUGUGAUAUAAGGUUUGAAAUCAGAUGGUAUUCGAGUUGAAGACAAAAUUGAUGUCUGCUUUUUAUCUUAAUGGAAUGAUCAAUGAAGAGUUGAUAUUGGGUCACGCGUCAUCGUCGAACAGAGAAAAAACUUUCUUCUCGGAGGAUCGAAAAGAUGCCACCUGCUUAAGGUACAAUGAACCCAUCGCAUAGAAUAUCCACACCCAAAUCGAGGCUCUCUUUGUAAAAAUUUUCAAGAGACACAGUCAUUCGUCUUUGUCUACCUUGGGCGAUACAAAUCAGCUGUACUAUUCCCAGUUCAUUUGUCAAUACACAAUAAAAGUGUGUUAAUGCGUGAAACACACGGUAAUUGCUUCGGAAAUUGUUCAAAGUUAAUUUGGAAAUUGCGUGGAAGAGCGGAGUCAUUAAGAAGACUUUAGAGGCAAGCAAGAGAAUGACAAAAUUAGAGAAGAGAGAAGAAAAGGAUACCGUUUCUGUGCCAGCGGUGUUUCAUUUUAAUUCAAGGCAAGGUCAGGAGAAAUGAGACGUUUUUACGAGUUUCAUGGUGAAACGACAAACGGUUUUAAGUGAUAGAAGGAAAACCGCAGCCGUAACCGCAAUAUAUUAAGUUUCCUUUCUUGUGUAAAUUACACCCAUAGAUUAAUAAGAAGUAUCCGUAUCGUUUCAGUUCAUUAACUCUGGAAAGCUGCCGUAUCAUUGCAUUCUCCAAAAAAAAACGAGAAACGUAUAAAAUCCAGACUGUUAACACGUUCCAUAUUUAAUUUUAAUUGCAAUUAAUUGCUCCAGUGAGAGACACGCUCUUGUACCACAUAACAAAUAGGUUGCUGGAAUGAAGGAAAGAAUUAAUUCGCUCCGUUAACGGUGUUCUCUUCAAAGUAGACAAGAUUCGAGCAAAUGGAUCGUUAAAAUGAAAUGAAUUUCCGCGGCUGCAGGAACAACGUGGUAAGAGGGAAAGAGUUCAAAGGAAAGCGGUACGAUGACCGAAAGAAAGUUUUUAAUGAUAAAGGAAUCUUGUUGGAAGCAACGAAAUUAAGAAUAUUUAGAGAUUCAAGGAUAAUAGCAAUGGAAAAAAGAAAAUGGAAAAUGUGUUUCAAAGGUAACAAUGAUGUUGAAAAGGAAAUGCCUUCGUACACCUGUGAAUACCUGAAUCGGGGGCCCCACAAACACGGGAGAAGAAAGUCGCCUGCACACAGAAUGCUCAUCGGGAACUUCUUCUGGGUAGAAAUCUGAAUUUUUCCAGCAUUGAGUCGCACGGCACAACUAACUUUCGAUUGCCGACGCGUCCGCAGGAUUUAUAAGUACGUUUCUCGACAACAACAUGCUAGAGGAUCUAAAAGAUUAUCUAUCAGGAGAAACUUACUUCUACCAUCCUGAACCAGCACGUGUACACAAUGGAAGAAUAUCUAUUAUCUUUUCACUCGAACACUUUUCACUUGUAGCGACUGAUUUUCACUGUCACACGGUUUACACGAAUGGAAGAAUCAUCACCGUUGGAAAGACAGGUGCAACAGAGGUUGAGUGAAGGAAACCAGAGGUGAUAGUGAAAAAGAAAGAGAAACUUGCCGGUGAAGAGGUACAAUGAAUGAGUGGUUUCGUACUCACCAAGCUCAUGAUGCUGUCUGUGCCCACGCUCGGUUAGCAUGCGGCUUUUACUCAGGAAGAUCAUCUUCAAGUAGUGAUAGUUUUAAGGAAGAGGAGGGAGGGGUCCGCGAUGUUGAUACACGUGUAUACCGCAUACCAACGUGAAACGUUUCUUUCGCUAUUUUCCAUACUAUUCGAUAGACAUUGAGCGGCCCAUUUUCGUGCAAUGCUUGUUGUUUCUGCAUUAUUCUUGUGAAUGAAACAGGAAUUUAUCAAUCAGAUUCAUGCAAAUGUUAAAUAUUGUUAUUUUCAUACGAUUUUUGAUAGAUCAUUGUUUUAAAUAUAUUUUGAACAUAUUCUUUAAUAUAAUUUUGAAAGAUUAUUUUAAAUAUUGGCGUAGUUAAUAGUUUAUAGACCCUCGAUUAUGAAAUUUAGUUCAUUCAAAUUCAAAUUCUUGUAUUGUAGACGAGAAGAAAAUUUGUCAUACGAAGGAAAGUAUUCGGGAAAGUAUUGCUAAACGAUUAUGCAAAUAUUUGAAGUGACGGAAGCGCAGACGGUUUCUUAUGAAUCCAUCAAUUUCUAUAAGAAAAAAAAUAUUAAGAAAGUUUUAA